GGGAAGGUCACCCCCGCCUCUGGGCGGCACUCAGGAAGCGCUAAGGACAGGACAGAGGCCUGGUGGGCACCCAGCCUAGAAGUGCCAAGUGGUCUUUACUUGGGCGCCUCUGGGUUGCUCGUGACCUCUAGUGGUUAACCCUACAGACUAAGAAGCUGCGAGGGUGACGUGGCCCACCGAGCUGACAAGGGUACAGGAUCAAUGAACACAGGGUCACAAGGGGCAGCCUCAGCCCGAGUCACCUGUCAACACACAGGGAGGAUGUGCCCCGUCUGCAGCCAGGGAAGCAGGCAGAGCGCGGCCACGGCCGCGGGUCUGGAAGGGCCUCCGUGAGCACGCGCUGAGGCCUCGCGGGGAGCGGCUGCACACGUCGGCACGCACACGGAGCUGCCCCCUGGACAGAUCCCAGGGCUUUGGAAAAAUGCAACUUAGGAAAAUUGCUUUUUUUUUUUUUUAAAAAAAAGAGGUGCUAAACUAGGUUUGGGUCCAACACCCAGGGCCGUGGGAAAACCUAGGAUUCCACAUGGGAAGGCCUCCUGGUCUCACAUACGCUCUUCUCUCAGUGCACAGCUCUGGACACACAGAGCAGAUCAUCCCAUGUAAGAGGGGGUCUGCCCCGCGGCCCUCCCUCCGAGCUCUCACCUGCGAAGUCCUUGACGUUGACGUCCGCCCCCUCGCUGAUGAGCUCCUUGAUACGCCGGGCGUCCCCCCGGAUGGCCGCCCGGUGUAGGCGGGUCUCUCCACGCUCAUUUCUCUUGUUCACUUUAUCUUUGGUUUUUGAGGCAGAAUUGGGCGUCCCCUUCUGACACACUGUCGACUGGGAGGGGUGCUUUGGUGUCGUGUCCACUGCAGGCCGAGGAGAGGAUGGGCGGAGGUUACCGGGAGGGGCCUGCGGGGCUGGGCCACCGUCCCGGAGGAGGGCCUCCCGGGCCCCAGGACCACCCGCCCCCAGGGCUCACCUGGGCUGUUCGCAGACUCCUCGGCCGUCAUCUGCAUGAGGAGAGCCACCUGCUGGCGCUCCGAGAGCGGGUAGCCGGCGCGGAUCCCGGACAGCCCCAUGCCGAACAGCAGCCCGGCCUUGCGGGUGACAGGCUCCUUCUUAAUCCUCUUCCGCUCAGGACCCUGCUUCUCUGUGAGGCGUGGAGGAGAGAGGGGAGACUUCAUGCCACGGAGCCCUCUGACUGCGGAGCCUCAGCUGGCAGCACGGGGGCCCCCACCUCACAGCCUGCGGGAGAGGGGAGGGGCAGCCGGCAGCGCGCACGCCGCCCGUCAUCACCUCUUCCGGCAGCAGCUGUGCUGGGGACACGAUUCCGACACCUCGUCACCCGCCGCUGAAGCCAAGCCUGGCCCCCACCGACCGUCCACUGCUCCAGGCGCCUCCCCAGACCGUGCCCUGCGCGCCAGGCGGCUCACGCAGGACGGGCCUCGGUCUAGCAACUCCUAGCGUCUGUGAUCCAGGAGCCUCCAUCUCAUGCCAUGGCGCUUCGAGGAGCGAACCAGCCUUGCAGUACCACGGCGUGGACUGAGCUGGAGGCAUCUAAAGGCAUCAACACAGAGCACUAACGAGAUACGGGGCCAGCCCGGCGCCCCCUCACGACAAGCAUACUGUGCUCCUCUGGCCCCUCACCUAACACCCUGCCGGCCUCAGGCAGAAACACUGCGCCGUUUCUUUCACAGGGGCGGGGAGGACGAAGAGAGAAGACACCCCCGACUCCACGGAUCAGGAGUCAGAAGCUCACUUUGCUCCACACUCACCCUCCUACUCACAGGAACCGGGGCUCCGUCGAGUCCCAGACCCUCCCCUGCGGCCCUGUCGUUCUGGGGAGCCCGGGGACGGGGGGCCUAGGUCACAGGUGCGGACCUCGGGGAGGGAAGCUGGGUCGCCACGGGGCCCGGGUCUCUGAGGGGCUCUCCCUGCUCUCCGUGUCCCAGGGCUGGGGCGACCUCUCCACUCCCAGAAGUACAACCCUGGGCUGCUCUCCACCUCAGGCCCCACAAGCGUGUCACGCUUUCCAUUUUCUUACAAAGAGUUUUCUGUAAAACUGUUAUUUCCUUAAAAAGUACCUUAAACUGCCUUUUUAAAAACUAAAGUUGUGAUCUGCUGACAAUGCUGAUCUGUGCAUCUUAGGUGAUAACCCCCAAGCACCACAGGCCACCCCACCAGCAACAACUGGUUUUUAACCAAUGCACAAGGCAUACGCCCAAGCAAGGAGGAAAUUCAGAAAGGACGCUCCUCAGGGGUGACCAAGGACCCCGCUCGCCUUCUCCCCCGCCCCGAAUUCCCCCACAACCCGGCAAAAGCAGUGAGCAAAGGGCGGCACAUGGCCCCCGGGGCCCGGCCCUUCAAGGAGGCCUCUGCACAGGGCACAGCUGGCACCCAGCAGCUUCAAGGAGCCCCGAGAAACGAAGCCACGCUGGGGCAGCGGCCGGACCCGGGCAGGGGCCUGGCUCAGAAGCACUCCCACGGAGUGCCACACGGACGGGUCUGGGCAUCGGGGCAGGGGGAGGCCGUGUGGCCCUGCCUGUGCCCUGUGACCUGGGCCCUGCUCUGCCCAACCUCCCGGGAAGCACAGCCUGGCCUCAGACAAUUGGGGCGUCUGGCCUCUCAGGGGCUCCCCGCUCCCCCCUGCCCAGGGGCGGUGGAGACACGAAGCCCCCAGAGAAGAGGACGGAAGCAGAACCUCAGCGAAGCGCGUCACCCCGCGGCCCCCCGCCGGGCUGUGGGUGGCAUCUGCGGAGGACACUGGGUCACCUCAGGGGUGGAAGCAAGCAGACCAGCCCCCCUCUCCGCGGCGCACGGGUCUUCAGGACAGAUGCACCCGUGAUUUAAGACGCCAGAGGAACCCGGCAGAAAGGCCACAGCCACCUCUGUCUUCAAGUGACCGUGCAGGCAGUGGACGCCCAGGGCCAGGGAGGUGCCUCGAGGGCCUUGCCUGCGCUGCUGUCGAGUGGCAGCGAAGAAUCAACUUCUGCCCAGAGACUCUGAUGCCAGCUGCAGAGCUGGGCCCUGUGGCACCGGCCUGUGGUCUCAGGAAGGGGCUGGGAGAGCUGUAAGGCUGAGGCAACCCCAGCACGAGUCCACACCUGCCCAAGGGCCCUGCUCACCCCACACGUGGAGGAGAACAGACUAACCCUCUGGUCUCCCCAGGCUUAACACAGGAAAAAACCCCAAAUGUAAUCCCAUCUCCUGAGACGCCAAUUUCUCGGUGGUGGAGUGUACUUUUCCACAGGUGCCACGGCUGCCGGGAUCUGGAGAGCCCACGUCUGGCCGGGCUGGGAGUCUCGGGUGGAGCGGGCGCCCACGGAACCCCGGCCACAGAGGAGCGGAGGCCGGGGCGCUGGUGCUGCAGAAGGGUCCUCCUGCCCAGCCACUGCGUCCUGUCGGCAAGGGCCAACCCGGGGGUCAACCCAGGUGAGACCUGCAGAGCCUCCUUCCUGCCCUGCCCUGGGGUGGGCGACGGCCCCACCUGCCAGUGCAGGGACGGGGACGCGGCAGAGGAGGUGCCCGGGCCACGGCCCAGCUCCCUCAGCGCUCUGCGAAGGUUUUGCUUCUCACAUCCAACCGGAAGAGAACAGAAGUUACACGAAGCCCAGGCGGCGUGCGUCAAGUUGUAGACUGGAAAACUGGCAGGUCCGUGUGAGUGGUGAGCGAGGCCAAAGGGUGCUGUGGAGGCACAGGGGCUGGAGCUCACCCUGCCCCCUCGUUCCCCGGGGACGCCAGCGGUGCCGUCUUCCCAGGGUAAUGGGGGGAAGGCAGUCUCAUGAGCCUGGACAGUCCCCUCACCGUGAGGAAAGCAACGCACAGCCGUGUGACUCGGCCUGUAUGUCCACGGCGCCUUGAUUCUCACGCUCGGUCACCUCGCUGGUCCUCUGUGAAAUCGGGGCCAUGUUUAUCCUCUCUUUCUGGGACACGGUCACCCAGCUAGCAGAUGCAAGGGUCCCCAGCCCCCCAGGCCAUCCCUGGGUUUCCCCCUAAAUGCUGUUCCUGUUGCCCCCGGAACACACCUCUGCUCUCCUCCCACAGUCCCCGUGGCCUCUUCUGGGGCUGGGCCUGCAGAGGGCGCAGCCCUGAGGGCCUCUGUUUCAGGACCCAGCAUCCAGAGUCCACUCCUCCUGGGGAGUUUCACUCCCCAGCAAAACUGACAGCGUCCAGUGGAGAACUUCCCCGAGUCACGGCGAAUCCUGGCAGCAAAGACACAGAGUGAGCUUCUGGGAGGUCUCCUCUGGCUUCCGGGGACGUGGUCUGCAGACACCCUCCGGCCGCCUUCCGCGGCCCCUCGGGCAGUCCCGUGGUCCCACACGACGCUCCGCGUGGAGCCCGCACCCUGCGCAGACACCGGCGGCCCCGUGUGCUCCUGCUGGACCCUGGCUGGCAGCUCUCCUGCUUCCUCUGUGCCUCAGUCAAGGCGGCGUCUUUAGUUUCAGCAGCGUCCAGCUCACUCAUCCUGCUCAUGGCGGACCCGGUGUCUUCCUCCUGCCGUGGCCAUCUCUAGGUCCAAUCCUCGUCUCCGCUCUGGGCCCUAGGAAGGCGCACAGAGGCCCAGGGAGGGCCAGCCCCAUGGGGGCAGGACGGCGUCUUCCAGCCGGAGGUGUCGGCGGGCACGGCUGCCCUCAGCCCGUCCACUGCCACCAGAAGCCCCGCGGCUGACAGCCAGGGCAUACCACGUGGCCGAAAGUGGGAAAUCUAUGACUCUCCUCAGAUGUCACCAUCGUCAGGGCUCCGCCCUGUGGGGGGGAGGGGGCGGAGGAGGUCCUCUGUCUCCUAUGAAGUUGCAGGGCUCGGCCCACGGCAGGCUGACGGGAGGUGGGUGGUCGGCACCGGGACCUGUUGUCCCGAGAGCGUCCUGUCCCUCGGCCUCAGAGCACACCUUCCACACCACACAGGGCCUGACCUGCACGAUCAGUCACAAACACAUGCUUCUGACCAAGAAACUGGCCCAGGCACAGUCCACAUGUGACAGACACCACGUCAGGUGACGGGCUGCACGGGGUCCUCCCGCAUUACACUCCGACCCUCCAAGCGCCACUGGACCCACACAGGCACCAUCAUUCAGGCUGUGGUGACAAUCGGCUUUCCUUCCGGUUUCCUGCUCUAUGUCUCCUCCUUUUCCUUUUUAAAAAAAUUUCCGGCGUUGAUCAUUUAAAGAAAGAGCGGUCUGUGUGGCCUUCAGCAAGUCGCCGGCCUGAGAGGGACAGGCUGGACCCACCCCCCCCCCCCGUCUCACUCCCCCCGCAGUGGCUGCUCCAGCUCCAGGUAAGGGCGACCACAGAGCCGCCCCACAGGUGACCAUGAUCAGGAGGCCAGAAUCUACGGAGGUGAGGUUGGCAUAAAGGGCCUGGACAACAGGGGUUCCCAACCACUGACCCCAACUUUCACUACAGCAGUAAAUCAGAACCAGUAAAUCGUAAUCCAGACCGCCAGCAACGCACCAACAGCGUCAUCCAUCCCGCCGCUCCCAGCCUGCCUGGGGGCCUCCGACCACCCCUCCAGCUCCCCACACCCAAACCCGGGAGUUCAUCGGGUGGAGCGGCCACCCUGACCCAGACCAGAGAGAAGUGGGCCCAGCUACGCCCUCUCGACUUGGCCUGGGGUGGAGGUGGCCAGCGUCCUACACCAGUCCUGCCCGCUCUGGGGUCCCGAGAGCUCCAGGGUCACGGUGUGGGUGGCAUGUGCCCUCCCAACCAGCGACUCACAGCGUGUCACGCCUGGCAGGCGGCCAAGCCCCUGCAUGGUCAGCCACGUGGCCUCCGGCACUUGGCAGGUGGCGUGCCCAGAGCCCAGCGCCAGUGAGUCCCUGCACACAGGGCAGCCUUGAGCAGGAGUCCCGACAGGCCCUGCCCACCAGGGGAGCUGCGUGCCCACCGCCUCCGUCCCCAGAUCCCAGCCCUGACGGGUGAGCUGCUCACACACCCUCCCUGCAGAGCCAGCCCGAAGGAGAAGCAAAGAAACGCUGGGAGCUGACAACAGGCCCCUCUCUGAAGGGCCCUGGGGGCUCCAGGUGGGAGGCGGGAGCACUGCUGCCAGGCUGACAAGAAGCCCGCAAGGCUCCAUCCACACAGGCCUCAGCAGCAGGUGUGUGUACAUGUAUGCUGCGGGGAAAUCAAACACGUAAGAAGCAGACAGCAAAGUAUAAUUUGAAGCAGGUCCCGGUCCCACCAAGACUGGCACCGGGCAGGAGGGCCCCCUUCUCCCUGCCUGCAGGCGCCUGCCCGCUGGCGGCCCGAGCUCCAGGGAGGACGCCCCAGCCCUGACUAAGCGCUGCAGGCCUCCUGGGGACCAGCAAACAGGAGGAUGCUCCCAGGGAGCCUGGGGGUCUCCGGGGGAUGCUCAUCAGCCUCCCCGUCUCAGGGAGCACAGCCGGAGAAACUCGCUAUUGGCCACUUGGAACCGUCGCCUGAGCGCCAGGCUGCAUCUUCCCAGCAGGGGGCACUGGAGGAACACGGCAGGAGCCAGCAGGCAGGGAGGGGACGUGGGAACACGGGGACCUUCAGCCUCCCCAGCUCGGCGCUAACCAGAGUUGGCACUUCUGUACAAGAGGCUCCCCAUCUGCCCUGGGGGCGGGCGGGCAGGCAGGCGGCACCUGGUGCAAGCGCGGAUUCUCGGGGGAAGAGCUUCACUCCGCCCGGCCAGGCAGCCGCUCACCAGGAAGGGCAGGGAGGGGUCAGUGACCAGGGCUGUAGGCGAGGUGCCCAGUCCUGGCCCGAAAGAUGAGACGCUCCCAGUUACUGGAGACCAGUUCUGCCACAUGACCAAAGCAGAUGUACAAGAAAGCUGCACGGUCGGCCCCUGAACCCCGGGGGGGCGGGGGGGAUAGGCAGGACACAGUCCCCCAGUCGAAGGCCCCUCCUCCUCCCACACUGUGUACUGAAAAAACCGCACAUAAGCGGACCCAUGCAGCUCACACCCGUGCUGUUCAAGGGUCAAUGGUACAGUAAAACUGGCCCCCAAAGAGAUAAACAAUAAACAGUGAAAGGACAAAUGCUGUACUUUACAUGUAUUUAGACUUUGUCCCUGCCUGGAAAAUCCCACUUGCAAAACGUUCUUCAGUUUCCCACCUGCCUGGAGCCUCGUGCUGAGGUGCCAACCGUCCCCCAGGCCUGCUGGAGGCCGCCUUCACGGCCAGCACACCGCAGAGACCCCAGAGGACGCCCCGCCCGCCUGUGCUCAGGCAGCAGUCCUCCCGGGAGCGGGCAGGAACAUCUCGGAGGAGGACACGGACCUGCAGACCCCCAACAUCCUGGAAGCCGGCAACCAAACAGCGAUGCCACGCCCUCCUGUACCAGAACUGGCUCGGGCACCCAAGCCUGAGUUUGGCCUGUCUCUUCUGCACCCAGAGCCUGAGGCACAGGGUCCCUGGGAGGACUCCCACCUCCUCUGCCCUCCUCCCCGGCCCACCCCCUCCCCUUGCGAAGGACCCCGCCGAGGUUGAGCUGCCUGUCCCGGACCCCAGCCACACCCAGCCGGCACCACCAACCCCCCCAACCUGCUUCACCAGCCUGCAGCUACCCCAGGUCUCUGCUCAGUGGCUGCGGGCCCGGGGGGCACCCGCCUGGGGGGCGCCCCCUGCAGGAGGCGUUGUGAGUGAAGACGUUCAUUCCAGGCUGUUCCCCUGCCAUUUCUCCCCGUUCUCUCACAUUUAUCUCAUUUCUGUACCUGCCAUUUUCCUGAGACUGGACACAAACCCUCACGUGCAGCAAAGCCCCCCUGCCCUCCUCCCGGUCCUGGCAGGACCUCUGCUCCUUCCCCCGUGGCUGCAUACCGGGGGACCCAGGCCCCCCUCGCGGCUCUGCAGAUCCACCCCGCACCUGCCCCUGGCUCAGGGGGUCUGCAGUCAGAUGACCAACAGGCGGGGAAGGCCCAGGACACCAGGACCAAGAGGAGGAGUGUGAGCCGGCUGGCAAAGGGGCCAGGUUCUUGCCUGGACCCAGCACGUGUCCCUGCAAGCAGCUCAGACGGAACCAACCUGAAAGUGCGCGCACCACACGGAGACAGACAGGGAGCAAUCCCCAGCGUCACCGGCACCGCAGGAGUCCACCCGGGACGGCAAUACCCUGACGCCUUCACUGCCACCAGAAGGCCUGUCUGGAGCCCCGAGAGGAGCUGGGACUCCCAGGGGCUUUGGAUCCACGGCCCCCAGCCCCUGCCACCCUUCCUGUGAACUCAGCAUCUGAUGUGGCCUCCUACUCGCUCCUCGGUGGAUCCCUCUGGGAUUCCGGGAACCAGCGCUCCCAGAGUUUCCCAGCGUUGGGAGGAGCAGGGAGCCCGAGGCCUCUUCCCAGACCUGCCCGUAAAACCGCGGGACAAAGCGGCAACAAGCCACAUCCAGCUUCCACACUGAGGGCACCUCUGAGCGUCCUCCUGGAUCAAGGGGGGCCAGGGCACGGGCCACAGCACCCCACGCAGAGCACGGGCAAGGCCACCUCUGCAGGUGGGCCCUCCCUCAGGAAGCCUGUGAGUCUGUAACUCCCGCAGACCAGCCUGGGGCUCCCUCUAAGAACAGUCUGGAGGGAGCACUGGGGGUCACAGAUUGUGGAGCACCCAGCACACACCCCCGAGCCCAGGGCACCAGCACAUUAACAGGACACAAGGAUGCAGAUUUACAACCCAUUUUCCUAUUCACAUUGGCAACAAGCAAACAAGGAGUACAAUUACCCAGCAGUGUUUCAAGUCAGGACCACUCGCAUGGCUACCGUCAGAUGCGGUCUGCCAGCAACCGUAUGGCAGGAACCCAUGGUCCUGAGGGACAGACCGUGGGGCCGAACUGGGGUUCGCUCAGACAGCGAUUUCUGUCCAUGGACCUAGUGGUUAAAGCUCCACUUUGGCCCCCAAAUAACAAACACAUCCUUAAAAAAGCCAGACGUGUCCUCCACAGCCACCCAGACCACAGCAGUUCCUCCACUGCCGCCCGAAGAGGGUCUCCCGGCACAGAUGUCGCCCACUGCAGAGGGACGAGUGACAGAGACAACCCCAGCCCUCCCCCGGGCCCAGACGAGGCCCACGCGGCGUGGUGGGGGAGGAGCGAGCUCACCUUUUUCCCGGGCUGCUUCUCCACCAUGUCGCUGCUCAGGGAACGCUCUUCCUGCUGUGGGGUUCUAGAACACCCACCCUUGGGCAUCGUUUCCUCCUCACCAAGCCUUCAUUCACGCCGCCAUCGCUUCAUCGUCAACCGUCUGCUUCAAAACAGAGGACACGGGGUUAAGGUCCGGUGACCCCACAUGAAACCCAGGUGCCUCCAGUCGGUGAUGCACGAUGCACGGAUGCAGCAGCCUUCUGAAGGGGCUGCUCCUGAUGCACCGGCCCGGCAGGCAGCCCCGGCAGCGGCACGUGCACCCCCCACGACGGAGAACAGCAGAACCCCAGGGAGCACACGGGGCCCUGCUCCGGGGGUCAGGCGCCACACAUGUUCGGCGGCAGCGCCCUCUGCCCAUGGGCAGGGUCACACCUCAAGGUCCAGGGGAUCACGCCCACCACCCUCUCGGCCCCCUGCCCUCACCCCCAACAUAAGGUCAGGAUGAGGGCUACUCUGCCACUCAGAAAGCACCCAGCACCCCGAACUCCCCAACUCCCGCAAGUAGAAUGUCCAGAAGGCAGGCAAGUGACACCGCUGGGGAAUGCCCGGAGGAUGCCAGGUGCCCACUCCUGCACAUGGGCCUGAGGCCUUGACCCCUGCAUUUCCCAAGACACAGGCUGUGUUUAUCGUGUUUUCUGUAUUUUAUGAUGUUUUGGCAUCUUCAGUUUGCUUUCUGGGGACAGACUGCCCUCCCACCACGGCCAGCCCUUUCUUGGCAGAGCCCCCACAAAACCACCCACCACCCCACCUACCUCUCACACACAAGCCGAUGACUCCCCCGAACAUAAAGCAUCCCAGCUACCAGGUAACCAGAGACCACCCCACAGCCCACGGAACUGUCCACUCCGCCCGCCGCCUUCCCCACGGAGACCCCGGCGGAGACUCUGGCCGACUCGCCUCUCAAUCCUGCCUGCUGCUCCCGACAAGCCCGGUGCUUCCCUGGCGGCCCUGCCGGCACAGCCAGGCUCUCUGCACCUGUGCGUGGCGUCGUCUCUGCCUGUGGCCACGCUGACCCGCCCCGCCCCUGCCCGGCGUGGACAGCUCUCCCCACCCCGUCCUCCUGUGCUUGCGCCACGCCUCACAUCCGGGGUGCUGGCUGCGCUUAGCAGAGGAAACAGGGAAAAGCACAUCCACUCCGUCUUCCUGAAAGCCUUCCUCUCAGACAUCCUCCUCAUAGUCAGACUCAGAAAAGAGUUCAUACAAACCAGAUCACACCUCUGGUGCCUUGCUGUGUUGGACGAGGUUUUCUGCAAGUAACUCACCCGGAAUUAAACAGCCUCUACUCUGUAUGGUUUUGGAAACACACUGUUCAGAAGCGUUCUGGAGUGGCAGCUCCGACCCGCCCUUCACCAGCCUCCGGAGAACCUGUCUCCUUUUCCACGUGAACGGAUAAAAGGUUCCCAGAGUGUCCCCUUGGUUCUUCACUGGCCAACACACAUCUAACUGUAGUCAGUGGAGGGACCACGCCACUUCCUGACACCUCCUCCGCAGUACACCACGCAGGUGGGCCGGGUCUGCCUCCACACGUUCCCCAUGGCUGUGGCUGGAAAUGAUUUCCUAUCAGUGCUUGAAACUGUGAACUCCAAGCUCUCUUCCAGUUUUCCACUACAAAACUGGGCUGUCUCAGCCUGAGGAAUGGCAUGUCAGAGCCUGACUCAGGACAGCUGCUGAAUCUCAGGGCUAUCUGGGAACUCAUCAGCAAUGCUUCCAUAGAAAUUUAAAGAUUAUCCGGAAGUUAAAUUUUUUAAAAAACUCCUGACUGCCUGCUCCCAAGAUGGAAACUCCAGACAAGGAGCCAUGGGACGCUCGACCCUCCUGCUCCCAGAUGCAAAGGCCCUGAGUCUGUGGCGCCCAGGCAGUGGACGCCGAGCAGACCCACGAGUGCAGGACCCCGACCUCGCCGCGUCCAGACCAGGAGGGCACGUGGAGGGCCGGUCCAGGCCUCGAAAGCUGAUGUCACCAAGUGCCCCGCGUCGGCUCUGGCCUUUCCUGGGAAGCCCUGCAUGAGCUGCCCAGAGGCUGGGGGCAAGAGGGGGGCCUGCUCCUCCAGGGCCUCGGCGCCCAUGGCGGCCCCCCCAGGCGCACCCCCAGCUUCUGGAAACACCUGCAGACCCUGCGGCUCCUCUAGCGCCUCCUGCUCCGCUGCUGUCGUCGGCGUGAAAUUUCAACCCUACAACCGCGUGCACGUCUCCGACCCGGGCUCUGGCAUGUCCCUGCCACCAGGAGACACUCGCCACUGCCGUCAUUUUGGGCAUGAUCCACCAGCUGAUGGAGGAGGCCCGCGCCUCACCAGGACGUCCGUGUUGGCAGCUGGCCCCGAGUGCCAGGUCUCCACUCACUCCUGAGGAGGGACAGGGCUCGACGGGCCCAGGUCCGCCCCAGCUGUGUCCCGGUCCCACAGGCACACGUCUGUCCUCUCCCCUAGUUGCCCAGCGGGACCCUCCCUGAGGCUGCCCAGCCCCUCGGGCUCCACACCACCCUGCACCCCUCCGCUGGGCAGCCUCUCCUUCCCGCCUGCCUGUCCUGGGCCCGGGGAGACGUCCAUUCAGAGGGGCUGGCAGGACAGACAUCCUUGUCAAGAGGCCUCGUGUCACAACGAGGCGUGUUCCUCCCCAAAGGCGCUCUGAGUGCCGCGGGCAGACCCAGCCCCUCGGGCACCGCAAUAAGCGACUGCCCCGACCAUGGCAUCCUCCUCCUUCCCGACACAACACGACCCUGCGAGUCCCUCUCCGUGGGCAAGAGGCGCUACGCUUGGGGAAGAGGCUCCCUCCAAACUAACCCUGAGGAAGAUGGGUGGCCGCACCCCUGCCACACCCGCCGUGCAGCAAACUCCUGCCUGUGCGAGUGACAAGCUAAAAAGCAAGACACGAGGGGGAAUCUGAAGGCAACUUUACUGGCCUCAUGGGGAUCAAAGCUGGAACCUGAGUGGAAAAGGCCACGGCACCGUGGGCCCCAAAUCCACGGACAGGGAGAGCCCGGCCCAGCAGCUCCAGGAGGGAACGCAAUGGGGCGGGAUGAGGGCCCACCGCCUGCCGACCUGUGCCAGCCAUCCCCACCCCCACCCCCACCCCCCACCCCAGCGGCCUUGUCCCCACAAGCUGCAACCACAGGGGCAGAGAAGGCACCCGGGAGGGAGGCUGAGAGCGCCGCCCGCAGCAGGAACCACCACCCCAGCCCCUCACAGCGGGGCCCGGAGGGACACACACACACGAGAGCAGGGCGAGCAGGGGCUACAAAAGAGACAGAGUCAGCAGCAACCCUGGCUUCAGGAGAGUCUAGAAAAAUUCAGAGACAGAAGAAAAGACUCACAAAUUUUAAAACGAGAGAAAACGCUAAGUCCUAGAGAAGCGAUCCAGAAAGCCCACUAUCAUAGCAAGGCAGAGACACUGCCCGAGGAGGAACAAGAGACAACAGCCCAGGACAGGACCGCAGCCAAAGGGCAGGAGGCCACUGAGCCCCGCCUCUCCCGCACGGGGGCCUCAGUGCAGGGGACGCGGACACAGCACAGCAAGGGUCCCAAAAAACGAUUUCCAGACUCAAACACCAAAUGUAGCCACACUGGCAACCAGGGUAACAGCAAAAGAAAGGCACUUCCAAGCCUGCAGAAAAGCCCCCCUGCCCCUCCCCCUCCUGCAAGCCUGGGGGUGGGGGGUUGGUCAAGGGCAGCCGCAGGCACAGCCCAGCCUCUCCCGCCGGAUCAGAGCUGAGCUCCAAGAACGGUCUGAAUUUAAAUCCUUGGGGGACAAAGAAAAUCAAGACUAAUAUUUUGUAACCCAGAAAAACUGCGUGGAAUUAGAAUUUCUGUGUCCAUAAGUAAGGUCUCCCUGGACAGAGACCACACCCAGAGCACUAUCCUGGGCUCCACAAGGGACUGUGGCCUAUCGGUGUCACCCGAGGGCCCCAGGACGCCCCAAGCCCUCUCUGGCCAGCGUGGCCCAGCACCCGCUGUCACAUGGCUGCGGUGAGCCAGCCAGCGUCCCUAUUGCUGCCUCGAUAAAGCAGCAAACAUCGUCCACUCUGUCCCUCUGCAAACCCUACUCCCUGUCCUCCUGACACUCUGAGCAGUCGGACGGUGGGGCUGGCGGGACCGCACUGGGCUCUGGAAGAGCCGCUGCGGCGGGGCUGUGGCCACACCGGCUGCGUUUUCAUGGGGCACAACUGCUGCUUGAAAGACUCUCCCAGACAAGCUAUGAUUAUUAAGGACUGGUAGGUGUUUUCUCAAAAAUGAACAAACUGAGGCCAUCGCCUCAAGGAAAACUAACAGUAGUUAUGGCCAGCAAUAAAAUUUGAGCUUUCACAUGAA